rnacentral:rRNA from 1 species
GACGAACGCUGGCGGCGUGCUUAACACAUGCAAGUCGAACGGAAAGGCCUGCUUUCCCUUGUGGAUUGCGGGUACUCGAGUGGCGAACGGGUGAGUAACACGUGGGUUAUCUGCCCCCAACUUGGGUAUAAGCCUGGGAAACUGGGUCUAAUUCCCGAUAGGACUGCAGGGUGGUGCCUGUGGUGGAACACGAUUUUCUAGUGGUUGGGGAUGAGCUCGCGGCCUAUCAGCUUGUUGGUGGGGUAAUGGCCUACCAAGGCGGCGACGGGUAGCCGGCCUGAGAGGGUGGACGGCCACAUUGGGACUGAGAUACGGCCCAGACGCCUACGGGAGGCAGCAGUGGGGAAUAUUACACAAUGGGCGGGAGCCUGAUGCAGCGACGCCGCGUGGGGGAUGACGGCCUUCGGGUGGUAAACUCCUUUCGACCGAGAGGAAGCCACCUGGUUGGAAGGGUGGUGACGGUAGUGGUAGAAGAAGCACCGGCUAACUACGUG